rnacentral:rRNA from 1 species
GACGAACGCUGGCGGCGUGCUUAACACAUGCAAGUCGAACGAUGAAGCUAGAGCUUGCUCUGGUGAAUUAGUGGCGAACGGGUGAGUAACACGUGAGUAACCUGCCCCGAACUCUGGGAAAACUGCUGGAAACGGUAGCUAAUACUGGAUACGACCUACGAAGGCAUCUUCUGUAGGUGGAAAGAAUUUCGGUUCGGGAUGGACUCGCGGCCUAUCAGCUUGUUGGUGAGGUAAUGGCUCACCAAGGCGACGACGGGUAGCCGGCCUGAGAGGGUGACCGGCCACACUGGGACUGAGACACGGCCCAGACUCCUACGGGAGGCAGCAGUGGGAAUAUUGCACAAUGGGCGCAAGCCUGAUGCAGCAACGCCGCGUGAGGGAUGACGGCCUUCGGGUUGUAAACCUCUUUUAGUAGGGAAGACGCGAAAGUGACGGUACCUGCAGAAAAAGCACCGGCUAACUACGUACCAGCCGCCGCCGUAA